GCCUUGCAGAUAAAAUCUGUGAUCAAAUCAGUGAUGCUGUACUAGACGCCCAUCUCAAACAGGACCCAAAUGCCAAGGUUGCUUGUGAGACAGUAUGUAAGACAGGAAUGGUGUUGCUCUGUGGUGAGAUCACAUCUCAUGCUAUUGUGGAUUAUCAACGAGUUGUCCGAGAUGCAAUUAGACAUAUUGGCUAUGAUGAUUCAGCUAAAGGCUUUGACUACAAGACUUGUAAUGUUUUAGUGGCACUGGAACAGCAGUCACCUGAUAUUGCCCAAGGUGUUCAUCUACACAGGAAUGAAGAGGAUGUUGGUGCUGGAGAUCAGG